CCGAGCAGCAAUGUGCAAGUCCAUGGCAGGUGGGGACAGAAGUGGUGCAACCAGUCUGCUCAGAGCCAGCGAGGCCAGCAAAACGAAGUCCUAGUUGAGAACUCUAUUCCAGGCCUGCUGGACUUGAGACAGAUGACAGAGGACAUGGUUCACCCUAUGACCAGAUCUUCUUGGCUCUCAGGGGAGACGUGAGCUUUCAGGCCAUCAACUUCUAACAAAUUAUGCCCAACGUAAGUAUGGUAAUUUUGAGACAAUUGUUACCCUGCUGGAAGUUGAAAUGAGAUGACCAAAUAUAUGAUUUCUG
rnacentral:lncRNA from 1 species